GAUGAACGCUGGCGGCGUGCCUAAUACAUGCAAGUCGAGCGAACAGACGAGGAGCUUGCUCCUCUGACGUUAGCCGCGCACGGGUGAGUAACACGUGGAUAACCUCCCUAUAAGACUGGGAUAAUCUCGGGACACCGGCGCUUAUACCGGAUAAUAUAUUGAACCGCAUUGUUCAAUAGUGAAAGUCGGUUUUGCUGUCACUUAUCGCUGGAUCUGGGCCGCAUUAGCUAGUUGGUAAGUUAACGGCUUAUGAAGGCAACGAUGCGUUGCCGACCUGAGAGAGUGAUCGGCCACACUGGAAGUGAGACACGGACCUGGCGCCCACGGGAGGCAGCAGUAGGGAAUCUUCCGCAGUGGGCGAAAGCCUGACGGAGCAACGCCGCGUGAGUGAUGAAGGUCUUCGGAGCGUAAAACUCUGUUAUUAGGUGAGAACAAAUUUGUAAGUAACUAUGCACGUCUUGACGGUACCGAGUCAGAAAGCCACGGCUAACUACGUG
rnacentral:rRNA from 1 species